rnacentral:rRNA from 1 species
UACAGAGGUCUCAAGCGUUGUUCGGAUUCAUUGGGCGUAAAGGGUGUGUAGGUGGCGCGCUAAGUCGGGUGUGAAAUUUCGGAGCUUAACUCCGAAACUGCAUUCGAUACUGGCGUUCUUGAGGACUGGAGAGGAGACUGGAAUUCAUGGUGUAGCAGUGAAAUGCGUAGAGAUCAUGAGGAAGACCAGUGGCGAAGGCGGGUCUCUGGACAGUUCCUGACACUGAGACACGAAGGCCAGGGGAGCAAACGGG